rnacentral:rRNA from 1 species
UUAAGCGACUAAGCGUACACGGUGGAUGCCCUGGCAGUCAGAGGCGAUGAAGGACGUGCUAAUCUGCGAUAAGCGUCGGUAAGGUGAUAUGAACCGUUAUAACCGGCGAUUUCCGAAUGGGGAAACCCAGUGUGUUUCGACACACUAUCAUUAACUGAAUCCAUAGGUUAAUGAGGCGAACCGGGGGAACUGAAACAUCUAAGUACCCCGAGGAAAAGAAAUCAACCGAGAUUCCCCCAGUAGCGGCGAGCGAACGGGGAGGAGCCCAGAGCCUGAAUCAGUGUGUGUGUUAGUGGAAGCGUCUGGAAAGGCGCGCGAUACAGGGUGACAGCCCCGUACACAAAAAUACACAUACUGUGAGCUCGAUGAGUAGGGCGGGACACGUGGUAUCCUGUCUGAAUAUGGGGGGACCAUCCUCCAAGGCUAAAUACUCCUGACUGACCGAUAGUGAACCAGUACCGUGAGGGAAAGGCGAAAAGAACCCCGGCGAGGGGAGUGAAAAAGAACCUGAAACCGUGUACGUACAAGCAGUGGGAGCACGCUUAGGCGUGUGACUGCGUACCUUUUGUAUAAUGGGUCAGCGACUUAUAUUCUGUAGCAAGGUUAACCGAAUAGGGGAGCCGAAGGGAAACCGAGUCUUAACUGGGCGUUAAGUUGCAGGGUAUAGACCCGAAACCCGGUGAUCUAGCCAUGGGCAGGUUGAAGGUUGGGUAACACUAACUGGAGGACCGAACCGACUAAUGUUGAAAAAUUAGCGGAUGACUUGUGGCUGGGGGUGAAAGGCCAAUCAAACCGGGAGAUAGCUGGUUCUCCCCGAAAGCUAUUUAGGUAGCGCCUCGUGAAUUCAUCUCCGGGGGUAGAGCACUGUUUCGGCAAGGGGGUCAUCCCGACUUACCAACCCGAUGCAAACUGCGAAUACCGGAGAAUGUUAUCACGGGAGACACACGGCGGGUGCUAACGUCCGUCGUGAAGAGGGAAACAACCCAGACCGCCAGCUAAGGUCCCAAAGUCAUGGUUAAGUGGGAAACGAUGUGGGAAGGCCCAGACAGCCAGGAUGUUGGCUUAGAAGCAGCCAUCAUUUAAAGAAAGCGUAAUAGCUCACUGGUCGAGUCGGCCUGCGCGGAAGAUGUAACGGGGCUAAACCAUGCACCGAAGCUGCGGCAGCGACGCUGAUGCGUUGUUGGGUAGGGGAGCGUUCUGUAAGCCUGCGAAGGUGUGCUGUGAGGCAUGCUGGAGGUAUCAGAAGUGCGAAUGCUGACAUAAGUAACGAUAAAGCGGGUGAAAAGCCCGCUCGCCGGAAGACCAAGGGUUCCUGUCCAACGUUAAUCGGGGCAGGGUGAGUCGACCCCUAAGGCGAGGCCGAAAGGCGUAGUCGAUGGGAAACAGGUUAAUAUUCCUGUACUUGGUGUUACUGCGAAGGGGGGACGGAGAAGGCUAUGUUGGCCGGGCGACGGUUGUCCCGGUUUAAGCGUGUAGGCUGGUUUUCCAGGCAAAUCCGGAAAAUCAAGGCUGAGGCGUGAUGACGAGGCACUACGGUGCUGAAGCAACAAAUGCCCUGCUUCCAGGAAAAGCCUCUAAGCAUCAGGUAACAUCAAAUCGUACCCCAAACCGACACAGGUGGUCAGGUAGAGAAUACCAAGGCGCUUGAGAGAACUCGGGUGAAGGAACUAGGCAAAAUGGUGCCGUAACUUCGGGAGAAGGCACGCUGAUAUGUAGGUGAAGUCCCUCGCGGAUGGAGCUGAAAUCAGUCGAAGAUACCAGCUGGCUGCAACUGUUUAUUAAAAACACAGCACUGUGCAAACACGAAAGUGGACGUAUACGGUGUGACGCCUGCCCGGUGCCGGAAGGUUAAUUGAUGGGGUUAGCGCAAGCGAAGCUCUUGAUCGAAGCCCCGGUAAACGGCGGCCGUAACUAUAACGGUCCUAAGGUAGCGAAAUUCCUUGUCGGGUAAGUUCCGACCUGCACGAAUGGCGUAAUGAUGGCCAGGCUGUCUCCACCCGAGACUCAGUGAAAUUGAACUCGCUGUGAAGAUGCAGUGUACCCGCGGCAAGACGGAAAGACCCCGUGAACCUUUACUAUAGCUUGACACUGAACAUUGAGCCUUGAUGUGUAGGAUAGGUGGGAGGCUUGGAAGUGUGGACGCCAGUCUGCAUGGAGCCGACCUUGAAAUACCACCCUUUAAUGUUUGAUGUUCUAACGUGGACCCGUGAUCCGGGUUGCGGACAGUGUCUGGUGGGUAGUUUGACUGGGGCGGUCUCCUCCUAAAGAGUAACGGAGGAGCACGAAGGUUGGCUAAUCCUGGUCGGACAUCAGGAGGUUAGUGCAAUGGCAUAAGCCAGCUUGACUGCGAGCGUGACGGCGCGAGCAGGUGCGAAAGCAGGUCAUAGUGAUCCGGUGGUUCUGAAUGGAAGGGCCAUCGCUCAACGGAUAAAAGGUACUCCGGGGAUAACAGGCUGAUACCGCCCAAGAGUUCAUAUCGACGGCGGUGUUUGGCACCUCGAUGUCGGCUCAUCACAUCCUGGGGCUGAAGUAGGUCCCAAGGGUAUGGCUGUUCGCCAUUUAAAGUGGUACGCGAGCUGGGUUUAGAACGUCGUGAGACAGUUCGGUCCCUAUCUGCCGUGGGCGCUGGAGAACUGAGGGGGGCUGCUCCUAGUACGAGAGGACCGGAGUGGACGCAUCACUGGUGUUCGGGUUGUCAUGCCAAUGGCACUGCCCGGUAGCUAAAUGCGGAAGAGAUAAGUGCUGAAAGCAUCUAAGCACGAAACUUGCCCCGAGAUGAGUUCUCCCUGACUCCUUGAGAGUCCUGAAGGAACGUUGAAGACGACGACGUUGAUAGGCCGGGUGUGUAAGCGCAGCGAUGCGUUGAGCUAACCGGUACUAAUGAACCGUGAGGCUUAACCUU